rnacentral:lncRNA from 10 species
CUUGCAAGUAGUGUAAAUCUCAGACUCUUCGCAGUAGACAAUCGUGAUUUCUGUACAUUUUCCUUGGAGCACUUUUGACAACUAGAACUUCUGGAACAGAUGGUCUGGCUUGCCGUCACAGCUAUUUGGAAGCAAGCUCCCGAGGAGUCAUCUCUCUUUUGUGCCAGGCUGGCUCUAGUCUUCCUCACCACCCCCUCCCCCAUGCUUCUCCUACACAAAUGCUGCUGAGAGCACUUCAAGGGGGAGGAAAGUCCCACUUCUCUCCAUCUGCCAGCUGUUUGCUUGUGAUGAUCAAGGGUCACUCUGGUCAUCUUACAGAAGAGGACAUGGAGGCUUAUAGAGGUCAAGGCUUCACAAAACAGGCCUGGGUUUGGCCACUCGCUGUCUGGUCUCAGAUGGGUCCAGGUUCUGGGGCUUCUGCCCCAUACACUACCAGCAGCCCUCUGCACACCAGGAGAUGGAACUUAGAAGGAUCUCAGGCUGUUGACAAGAGGGUUGGCCCACAGUGGUUUGGUUCAGUGAGCACUCACUCCAGUCCUGGUUUUAGGUGGGCACUGUCCCACUGGGUGAUCCUUGAAGACCUCUGAGCAGCUGCCUAUAGAAGGCCCCUGUCUGGCUCUGAAGAGCUCAGGGGGAUACUUAAUUGGCAGUGGGUGGUCUGCAGGGCUUGGCUUAAGCCCUAAGCUUUUUUGUUUUUUUGGUUUGAGACAGAGUCUCACUCUGUCGCCCAGGCUAGAGUGUAGUGGAGCGAUCUCGGCUCACUGCAACCUCUGCCUCUGGCUUCUGGGGCUCUCUGGAUGCUGACUCAGAUCCCAUUCACUUUGUCCCUUCAAGUCCGGUCCCCUCCUAGCUGAGUCUCCCCCAGCGCCCUGGGAAUGGGGGUCUCUGGCAAUUUCUAUGUUCUCUUUUCAUAUCCUCAUUAUGGUGUAAACUUUAUGCCUUGCUCCCCUUGGGGCUGUCCCUGUUUGUUUUCAAGAGCUGCCUUUUGAAGCGAGAAAAAGAUAAAAAAAGAACCUAAUCAAUUUCUCCUUUCAUUUCUGCUGAAACGAUUUUAAUUCUUUUUUACACAGUGUAGAUCCCUCUGACUUACCAGGAAAGAGUGACACGGGAAGGCUAGGGAGAGAAGACAACGAAAGCAUAAAGCCUCACAUUUCAAGACAGCUCAUUGUGGCAUUUAGAAAUGGGGAUGUGGGGAGCAGAAUUUGGACUCCCAGGCUAAUGCUUUUCUGAGCAUGUCAAGUUAUAUCCCUAGUCCGCCCAGUGAAUAUUUAUUCAGCACCUAUUGUGUGCCAAAUGCUUUCUUGACUCAUGAACCCUGACUGCUUAAAAGAUAUGCUUUACUCUUAUUGGUAAUGCUGGUAGCUCUUCUUGCGUUUCCUUUCAUGUGGAUUGUAAUAAAUAAUCUUUUGGAGAAAAAUAUAGUUAUCAGCAAUAGUAGUCAUUUGUACACUCGUUGAUCUACUCAUGUAUUCAUCUUUAAACAAACAUUAACUGAACACCUACUAUGUGCCACGCUUUCUAGUUGGGGCUUGGGAUCUUGGGGCUAUGACUUUGACCAUGACAAGUAAAGUCUCUGCUUUCAUAUGCCAUAAGUAUUUGUGUGUGAGAGAGGCAAUAAACAAGAGAACAAGUGUGCAUGUAAUGACAGACAAUGAUAAAUAAAGGAAAAGUGAAGUAGGUGAGGGUUAGAGAGUGACAGGGGCAGCUAUUUCAUGCUCAUGUGGGAAAAUGAUGUCCCUGGCUAAGGACACUCAACUCACUCAAUGGUUACUUCUUGAAGGCACAGAGUUGAGUUACGGAUCUUUUCUCUAUGCAGCAUGCCCCUCAUGUUCUUUUUCCUCUAGUCAGGGAUUUGCUGUGCUGAGCCAUCCUCGUCCUCACCCUGUUCCUUUGGCUCCUGCCCCACUUGCAUUCCUGGGAGUCUAGUCCAUCCCUGGGGCCUUCCAUCCACCCGUGCCCUGGGCUACCCUUUGCUGCUGUUCCAACACACCAGGCUCCCUCUCAGAUCAGGGCUUUGCAUGUGCCAUUUCCUCUAUCUGGAAAGUUAUUCCCCAAGAUACCUGCAUGGCUCUGUCAUUCACUUAUUUAUGGGUUUUUGCUCAAAUGUUUCCUUCGUGGUGAGUCUUUCCUGGUCCCCCUAUUUAAAAUUGCGACAAACCCACCACUGCGUGUAGACAUCUGCAUUUUCCAUCCCCAUUUUCUUUAUCUCCUUGGCUUUUUAUUAUCACUUGCUCUACUGCAUGUUUUAAUUAGUGGCCACUACCUUUAGGUCAGAUGGGAUGAGAAGAUCUUCAAGGGCAGGUAUCUAGGGGAGAACACUGUGACACAGAGCUGUCUUGAGAGGACUAAUGACCUUCAGGUGAAGGCCCCAUGCAGCCUGAUGCAACCCCAUUCUCCUUCCUCUCUCUGAUCUUGCUGAGCCUCCACAUUGGCCAAGCCCAGUGAAGAGAUGAGUCAUGUACAAGUCAGCGUCCAAGGGCACAGAGAAGAAUGGAGAAAGGGCUGUGGAGGGGAGGGUCUCCAAACAGUAUUCUUUGGACCCCUAGGGAUUUAUUAAAGAGUUUUGCACAGUCUUGCAAGGAUGCACUGGGCUGGACUUUGAUCACUCCACCAACAUUUCCACAAGGUACAAGGCCUGACUUUGAAUUUCAGCUCCGCUGCUUACCAGCUGUAUGACUUUGGACAAGUCACCGUGCCCUCUGAGCCCAGAUACUCAUCUGUUCCGUGAAGCUAAAAAUCCCUGCUCUGCAUCCCUCUCCAGAUGGUUGUGAAGAGUCGAUGAGGUUCAGGAUGUAGAAGUGCUGCGUAAACAGCUGAGUCUUGGACAAAAUUGGUUUUUUUAAUCAGCUGCCAGCUCCCAUUUCCAUUGUUGAUUUAGAAAUUCCAAGUCUAGAUGCAAAAUAGGUUACUGGUCGCCAUGAGGACCUGGGAAUGAAAGCUGUUUUCAGCCCAACCCAUCCACUUAAAUUGGUCCUUGAUGGAAAAAUCCAUAAACUCCUUUAAGAUCCCAGGUGUGGGUAGCAGUUCUGUUACCCAUCCAUAUGUAAGACACCCAGUGUCUGCUGGGGGGCUGUAGACAAGAUCUUGAUUCCAGCUUAUUAAAUGCUUCAAGUGGCGAUUGGUUCUCCUUCCUCCUCCCUUCCUUACUCCAGCCAAAGGGAGCACCUCUCCUGGGGCGAGGGAGGACAGAUGGGUGGGUGGUGGGCAGGGCCGAAUGCUUCCUGAGAAGCUGUAGGAAGAGUGUGGGGGAAACUGCAGGCCCUCUUUUCUUUGUUGGGAGCUCAUAAGCCGUU